UCGAGGAAGACUUGUGGGAACGCAUGGUUAGUUGCUGAAUCGCUAAUUUUAUGUCCUCCAGACCAGAACCCGACCAUGGUACCUGUAGCUGUAAAGAGGUCGUUGAACAGUUCAGUUGCUGAGGACUAUGCGACCUGUGAUGACGAUGAGGCGGAGAACUGCUGCUUGUAUGACCACCGGUAUCCGACAUGCUUGCGUGCCCGGACGAUCGAUUCUCGUCGGAGGAGCUAUUACCAGCGCAUUCUGGUCGCCUCUACAAAAGUCGUUCGUCUUUUACAACCGACCGCCAUGAUUUGUUAGCCGUGGUUACGUUCAACAACGACUUUGGACUAAACACCGACCGUCCUAUUCGCCAUUAUGAAGAAGAGAAGCAAAAUCAAAUGACGAUGAUAUUUUCAAUGAUUUUUACGUUUUAAACGAUCGUAAAGUACUCGGAGCUCGUGCAAGCUGAGAUGGUGAUGCUGCGAGGGAUGAGGAUGUUGAGGGGUCGGAGUAGGCGCAACGCUAUCCGUAUCCCUCUCCGCGACCAUGUGAACCAUAUUGUGGACGCCACUUUUCGACUGAUUUUC